AAACGCAGCCCCGGGUGGUAGCUCAAAGGGCAUGGAUGGGUUCCAAUGGCUCAUAGGCUUCCCCGUGGGGAGAGUGGACUUUGUCUUUGGAGGACAUAGCCUAACGGGUAUCAUUCGCCACCUCCUCCAGCCGUGGGAUGGUAGCUGUGUGAUAUCCUGGCUGCUGCCAUCCUGCAAGCCUGCCUGGGGAGGUGCCGGGAUGUCUCCCUGCCCCGCAGGUCUCCGCUGUGGCCUGAGAAAGCAGUAGAAGAUGGCCCAAGUCCUUGGGCCCCUGCUGCUAUGGCCUGAGAAAGCAGUAGAAGAUCGCCCAAGUCCUUGGGCCCCUGCACCUGCGUGGGAGACCCGGAAGAAGCUCCUGGCUUCAGAUUGGCUCAGCUCCAGCCAUUGUGGCCAGCUGGGGAGUGAACCAGUGGAUGGAAGACUCUCUUUCCCUCUCUGCCCCUCUCUCUGUGUAACUCUGACUUUCAAAUAGAUAAAUAAAUCUUAAAGAAAGAAAGAAAAUCA